GCCUCCGUAGUGUAAUGGAUAACACGACAGUCUUCGGAACUGUAAAUAGGGGUUCGAUUCCCUUCGGAGGCA
rnacentral:tRNA from 1 species